GACGUAGGGGGCGAGCGUUGUCCGGAUUUAUUGGGCGUAAAGCGUGCGUAGGCGGCUGCGCAAGUCGGUUGUGAAACCCCGGGGCUCAACCCCGGAACUGCAUCCGAUACUGCGUGGCUAGAGGUAGGUAGGGGAGAUCGGAAUUCCUGGUGUAGCGGUGAAAUGCGCAGAUAUCUGGAGGAACACCGGUGGCGAAGGCGGCAUCCUGGACCGGCAUUGACGCUGAGGCGCGAAAGCCAGGGGAGCAAAGCGGG
rnacentral:rRNA from 1 species